AACGAACGCUGGCGGCAUGCCUAACACAUGCAAGUCGAACGAGACCUUCGGGUCUAGUGGCGCACGGGUGCGUAACGCGUGGGAACCUGCCCUUAGGUUCGGAAUAACUCCCCGAAGGGGGUGCUAAUACCGGAUAAUGUCUUCGGACCAAAGAUUUAUCGCCUUUGGAUGGGCCCGCGUUGGAUUAGCUAGUUGGUAGGGUAAAAGCCUACCAAGGCGACGAUCCAUAGCUGGUCUGAGAGGAUGAUCAGCCACACUGGGACUGGGACACGGCCCAGACUCCUACGGGAGGCAGCAGUGGGGAAUAUUGGACAAUGGGCGACAGCCUGAUCCAGCAAUGCCGCGUGAGUGAUGAAGGCCUUAGGGUUGUAAAGCUCUUUUACCCGGGAUGAUAAUGACAGUACCGGGAGAAUAAGCUCCGGCUAACUCCGUG
rnacentral:rRNA from 1 species